CAACCAAUGUUGUGAUGCAUUUUAAAGCAUCACAACCAAUUGAAAAAUUUCUUGUGUUAUGUAGGCGUGUUACACCAUUGGCGCAUAUUCUUAAACGCUCCGGCCUGGCAGGGUCGCAGUGCAUGCUUGGAGCUGUCAGACACCGCGGAGCUGCUGAGAUGGCUUCUUUGUGUGAAGAAACAACAGGGUCCGCUACUCUACAAAGUGAAGAGGUAGGCGGCUAAAAUAUUUUUUCUGAUCAUGGAAUUGUUGUAUCGGUGCUUGGUGUAUGUCAUUUUAAUACUUGGUUUUCUUUUUAGCAAAACCCAAUGCCACCCUCUGCACCCUGUGACAGCGGCGGGGGUGUGAGUUCAGCUGGGGUACCAGAUGUUGAAGAACUGCCGGGUGCUAGUGAUGAUACCACGCUACAAAUGAAAAAAGAGGAUGUGGACGGGUCAAUCUUCAGCCUACCGGCACAAGUGAAUGUCUCGUGUCUAUGCUUGUGUGUUCGCCCAAAUCUUAAUAAAGCUGAUGCCCAUGUCCCUAAUGAGCCCGAUGUUAUGCCCCAGAUUGUGAAAGCAGUAGUUUUUUGCAUCUUCAAACACUGUUUAAAGGGGGUCCUGGUUGAUGACUGCCCGGCCUGUUUGAUUGACCAUCCCGGGCAA
rnacentral:lncRNA from 1 species